rnacentral:rRNA from 1 species
GACAGAGGGUGCAAACGUUUGUUCGGAUUUACUGGGCGUAAAGCGUGUGUAGGCGGCUUGGCAAGUUGGAUGUGAAAGCCCACGGCUCAACCGUGGAAGCGCACCCAAAACUGCUUCGCUCGAGUCUCGGAGAGGAAGGUGGAAUGCUUGGUGGUAGAGGUGAAAUUCGUAGAUAUACAAGCAGAACGACCGUGCGGCGAAGGCGGCCUUCGUGG